GAUGAACGCUGGCGGCGUGCCUAAUACAUGCAAGUCGAGCGAACAGACGAGGAGCUUGCUCCUCUGAUGUUAGCGGCGGACGGGUGAGUAACACGUGGAUAACCUACCUAUAAGACUGGGAUAACUUCGGGAAACCGGAGCUAAUACCGGAUAACAUGCUGAACCGCAUGGUUCAACAGUGAAAGACGGUCUUGCUGUCACUUAUAGAUGGAUCCGCGCCGCAUUAGCUAGUUGGUAAGGUAACGGCUUACCAAGGCAACGAUGCGUAGCCGACCUGAGAGGGUGAUCGGCCACACUGGAACUGAGACGCGGUCCAGACUCCUACGGGAGGCAGCAGUAGGGAAUCUUCCGCAAUGGGCGAAAGCCUGACGGAGCAGCGCCGCGUGAGUGAAGAAGGUCUUCGGAUCGUAAAACUCUGUUAUUGGGGAAGAACAAAUGUGUAAGUAACUAUGCACGUCUUGACGGUACCUAAUCAGAAAGCCACGGCUAACUACGUG
rnacentral:rRNA from 1 species